AUCUGCAACAUCUAUAUUCUUUUUAUUUAUCGGUUAUUAUUUUUAAAAAAAUUGUCAAAAAUAGGCUAAAAGUAGAGGGAUAAAAAAAUUUGAAAGAAAAGUUGAUUUGCGAAAUUACCCUUCUUUAAUUUUACCUUCUUUCCCUUUUUUUUUUCUCAUUUUCUUCUUUUAUCUCUUCCUUCCCUUCCAUGGCAUCCUUAUUUUCUCCAUCCAUCAACUCAUUCUUCUUAUCACAAAGGAUUCAACUGCUUAAAUUUCUCCAGUGAGGUUUGGUUGAUUUACAUUUCUGUUCAAUUGCAAUUGCAUUUUUUUUUUCAUAUUUUUCCUUGACUGAGAUAUUUUUACACUUGUGUACGGACGUAUAUGUCAUUUAUGCAUGCAAAUGUCAAAGUGGGAAAUCUUUGCAUAUGGCUUGACUUGCCUUUCACCUUGUUCCCUUUGUUAGUGGCGUUAGUUUUGAUUUGUGAAGGAUAAUUAUUAUUCUUACUUUUUAUAUGAGUGAAUGAAGCACUUAAAUAAGUCGAGAGAAUUAAGGCAGGUUGUUGUGGAGAAGCUUGGUCUCCAACUAAAAGUUAUUGCUCCUAUCAAAUAGAAAUUUGUGAUUUUGAUCAGUUGGGAAGAGAGCGAGGAUUGUCAAUGCAAAAAGGUGGGGAGGAGGAAUUAUAAUUUUAAAUAGGUUAGCGUCACAAGGAGAUGAAAUGGCGUAAAGCAAUGCAAAACAAGGGUUUACAUUUUACACUGAACACUACAAGAAGCACUUGCUGCUUCCAAUCUCUUUUCGUGAUAAAUUAUUUUGAAAACAUUACCAUCUUUGCUUGUGUCUUUUUUAACAUAUUAAACUAAUAAUUUACACUUGUUCUUCUUUUAAAAUAGUACUGAUAGCCUACUUUUUUUGUAUUGAAAUUACAAGAUACUUGGACCAUCCUUCCUUUCUAAGUUUGCUCAACAAAGCUGAAGAGUUUGGAUUCAACCAUCCAAGAGGGGGUUUGACAAUUCUCUUCAAAGAAGAUGCCUUCAUUGAUUUCACUUCAAGAUUGCAUACCUCUUGAAAAGUAGAGCAAACAAAAGCUACAAUUUCCUACCAAAAGAGUGAGGAACAAUUUCACCGACUUCUCUUUUCAUUCUAGUUUGAGGAGAAUCAAAGUAGAAUAUCAUUGUAUAUUGAUUUUCGAUAAACAUUUAAGUGUAUCAAACUAAUUACGCAUAUUAGUAAAACACAACGUGAUGACAAGAUUAUAGUUUUCUA